UACGUAGGGUGCGAGCGUUAAUCGGAAUUACUGGGCGUAAAGCGUGCGCAGGCGGUUUUGUAAGCCAGAUGUGAAAUCCCCGGGCUUAACCUGAGAAUGGCAUUUGGGACUGCAAGGCUGGAGUGUGGCAGAGGAGACUGGAAUUCCUGGUGUAGCAGUGAAAUGCGUAGAUAUCAGGAGGAAUACCGAUGGCGAAGGCAGGUCUCUGGGCUGACACUGACGCUCAUGCACGAAAGCGUGGGGAGCAAACAGG
rnacentral:rRNA from 1 species